AUCGCUUUGCGGCCUUUUGGCUGAGAUCAAGCGCUCUUCUCAGUAUUUGUUCCUAUCAGUUUAAUAUCUGAUGCGUCCUUGAUGAGAGUACUUUAUAUUAAAUGGGUUUUUGGGUGCAGAAGUUGGACCCAGAGGUUGUUCCCUCCGCUCAGCGCAUCCUCCCAGUAUUGCAGUGCCUCCAGGACACUUUUU